rnacentral:rRNA from 1 species
AUUGAACGCUGGCGGCAGGCCUAACACAUGCAAGUCGAGCGAGCGGCGGACGGGCGAGUAAUGUCUGGGAAACUGCCUGAUGGAGGGGGAUAACUACUGGAAACGGUAGCUAAUACCGCAUACCAUCAGAUGUGCCCAGAUGGGAUUAGCUGGUCGGUGGGGUAACGGCUCACCUAGGCGACGAUCCCUAGCCGGUCUGAGAGGAUGACCAGCCACACUGGAACUGAGACACGGUCCAUGCUCCUACGGGAGUCAGCAGUGGGGAAUAUUGCGCAAUGGGCGCAAGCCUGAUGCAGCCAUGCCGCGUGUGUGAAUAAGGCCUUCGGGUUGUAAAGCACUUUCAGCGGGGAGGCGUUACCCGCAGAAGAAGCACCGGCGAACUCCGUGCCAGCAGCCGCGGUAAUAC